rnacentral:misc_RNA from 1 species
AUUUCUUGAAAUUCUUGAAAUUUUGUUUUUUCUCCACCUAUUCCCUAAUUUCUUCUUUUUUGAGAACCAAACUUUUUCUAAGUUCUAGAAAUAUUUGAGGGAAAAAAAUUAUUUUUUUUCUAUCUUAAGAGCUACCUUAUUCCUUUUCCCUCUAUCAAAUUCUUCCCAAUCUCUCUAUUUUCAAUUUCUACCCUGUUAGGGUUCUUUUCUCUAUUCCUUCUUAAAAUUCUUGAAAUCCUUAUUUCUGCCUCAACUUUUCUUCCCUUGUCCCUAUAAUUUUCUUCUCUUAAAAGCAAAAUUUUUUGACAUCCUACCCAACCUUCUGCAAGAUAAUCAUGGAAGACCAACCGUGGGAACAAAAGUUAAAUAAUAGAAUUAUGGAAAUUGUCGAUAGAGGAUUAAAAGGGCAGGAAGAAUUGCCAUUACAAAAAUUAGAGAAAUAUGA